GUACUUGAUACUUUAAUUGAUAUACAAGCCAUUCCAAUAUUAUACUAUACUUAGUUCAAACGAACAUAAUGCACUUAUUUAUAUAAUGUUUUAAUUCUUAAUCAGAGUUAAUAAUUAAUGUUUCUGUUCCAAAGAGACCCUACAUUAAGAGUACAAAUGUUUACCUACAUAAAUGAACAGUGCUUAUUUGAACUACACAGGGUGUCUCAUUAUAAUCUUUCCACGCGAUUAUCUCGCAAAAUAUUCAUCAAAAAAAAUUUUUAAACGAAAUAUGCUCUAUCUGAAGGGGGACAUUCAAUGGUGUACACUGAUUUUUUCUGAGUGGAGGCGCCUUCGAGAUUUGAAGGAUUGGGAACUUCGUUAACAGUUGCUGUUUGUAGCGUUGUAGACUCCAUACUGUCAUGUAAUACAUAUUGUCCAUAUCCGAAAUUACGAAUAAGGAAUCAACUGUAAAGUAACUACUUACCAAGGAGCUUUUUUUGAUGCUCCUUCGGAUACUUUAGCAACUGAUGGUGCAGGCAUUUGAAAGGCUGGUGCAUCGCCAUAGAGAAGGUCAUCUUCGUUGUCGAUAUUAGUAACUAUAGGUGGUUCUUCAAUGUUAUGUUCUUCUUCAUGUACUUCGUCUUCUACAUUUUCAGGUCUUACUUGUUCAUCGAUAUUUAAUGUGCCAAUGACUGUCCACAUAUCUUCACAUCCUGCGUGAAACAAUCACCUGAGGUCGAAUCGCACAUUGAAGAACACAAAGUGCACCAUUUUUACCAUAUCCAGAAGUUGUGACAAGUUCAACAUCAGGGUCUUGACUGUGUGAAAAUUCUUCAGAUAAAAAAGCUGGUUCAC